CCCUGCAGCUCUUCCCUGGUUUCCCACUGAAGCUAAGCAAGGUUGAGCCUGGCCAAUACUUGGAUGGCAGACCUCCAGGGGAAAACUAAGUUUGCUGCAGGAA
rnacentral:rRNA from 1 species